AUCCAGAUGACGACUCUCAAAUAGGACGAAAUGCGCAUCCUGGAU
rfam:Trichobilharzia regenti genome assembly, scaffold: TRE_scaffold0016171